CAGCUUUUUUCCAGUCCCCUAGUUCCCCUUCCCCACUCCCUCUCUCUGCCCGGCGACAAGAGGGAGAGAGAAAUCCACAAAUCCCUCACCCAUAGAGCUUCACGACGAGCGUAGCUAGGGUGACGAAUUAAGCAGCGGAGAAGGUAACGAACCAGCGGAGCGGCGGAGGCGGGAGGAUUCCAGCAAUUUCGACGGGAUAGGAGUCGCGCGCGUGGACGGAAGGAGAAGGAAGUGAGCGAAGAUGGUGGCUUGCACGAGGCGACGGACGACCGGAGACGAGUGAUCCUGCUCCAUCAACGGUUUGAGACUGUACCAGUCGGGAUUGAACUGCAGAACAUGUCAACAGCUCUGCUUGCCUAAGUUGUCAAUGGCGCCAUCGAGGUUUGCUAAUCUUUAUAUGGUACAGUAAAUUUCUUUUGCUUAGUUCUUUCGUGCACUUUCCUUUCAACUUGUUUUGUGCUGACUCACGUAAGUGUAGUUAUGAUUUGUGUGUUGUGCAAACAGUUGAUCAGGUUCACGAAUGUCAACCUUAUUGGGGUAAUUUAAUGGAUUAUAUCUC